rnacentral:misc_RNA from 1 species
GAUGAAGAACGAAGCGAAAUGCGAUAAGUAGUGUGAAUUGCAGAAUUCAGUGAAUCAUCGAAUCUUUGAACGCACAUUGCGCCUCCUGGUAUUCCGGGAGGCAUGCCUGUUCGAGCGUCAUCAAAAACCUCAACCCAUGAUUUAUUGUGAGUUGGUUCUGCAUUGGACUCCUUGUGGGUCCUUUGCGAAAUCCAAUGGCGAAGAGCCACGCAACCAAAGCGUAGUAUAACUAUUUCGUUAUGGAAGCGUGGGUGCCUCUGCCGUAACCCCCAAUUUCUUAGUUUUUGACCUCGGAUCAGGUAGGGAUACCCGCUGAACUUAAGCAUAUCAAUAAGCGGAGGA